rfam:Flavobacterium fryxellicola strain DSM 16209 FBFR29, whole genome shotgun sequence.
UGCUAACGAGUGCGUGAGUGAUGGAAGCGGCAUCCUUUCCUUUUUUCUUUAAAAAGGAAAGAUACAGCGUACAGCACGACCCAGA